ACUAUAUAGGGCUGGGAAUUAUACUACUACUAUACUAUAUAGGGCUGGGAGUUAUACUACUACUAUACUAUAUAGGGCUGGGAAUUAUACUAUUAUACUAUACUAUAUAGGGCUGGGAGUUAUACUACUAUACUAUAUACUGGUACUGUAUAUAUAUAUAUAUAUAUAUAUAUAUAAAGUAUCUGAACACAUACAGCGUAUUCGGAAAGUAUUCAGACACCUACACUUUUUCCACAUUUUGUGACGUUACAGCUUUAUUCUAAAAUUGACUUUUUUCCCCACCAAUCUACCCACAAUACCCCAUAAGGACAAAGUGAAAACAGGUUUUUGAAAAAUUGUAAAGACCGGAUGCGCAGUUUAGUAGGAGUGUAGCUUUCAGAUAGUUGUUUUUACCCACCAGAGAGAGUAAAUGUCAUUCUGGUAAUCUGUCCUGUUGUAUAGUUAUUGCAUGUUAAGGUUGAAUUAAAAAAUUUUUUAGCACCAAUUAGGUUUACAGAAGUGUAUGAGCUCUCUAAAAGCCUAUGUAAAUCCAAUUCCUGGCAUACAAUAAAGUGGCAUACGUUAUAAUAAAUUUAAUAAUAUUUAAUCUUAAUAUUACAAAAUAAUGUGCAGCAUAUACAUUUAACAUGAUGAACAAGAAUGACAUUUACACUCACGGGUGGCCAAUUAGAUCUAGUUGAAAGCCAUUUCCAUAAUAAGCUACGCCUCCUGAAAAUAACCUAAGGAUUACAUUAAAAAAGACCCAGCUGCUAAGUCAACCCAGCAUGAGAGUAUAAAAUACCCGACUGAUGGUUAAAUUAACCAAUGUUUUUGGUAAUGCUAACAACCAAACUUGUUGGGUUAUUCUGGCAACCUAACUGGCUGAGUCAAAAUAACCCAGCAUGUGUUCUUUCCAGUAUUUAAUCAACUCUGGGUUACCAAAGGACACAAAUUGGGUUGUUUUUAACCCAGCAUUUUUGAGAGUGUGGUUGCAUGUAUUUCCCUCUCGAUAUUCUAAUGAGAAUACCAGUAUGUCUUACAGUGUUCUGCCUUCAAAGAAGAGAUGAGGGGUGUGUGUUUAUGUGUGUAUUUAUGUGAGAGAGAGAGAGAGAGAGAGUGAGAGAGAGAAAAAUAGAGAUUCCCUCUCUGUAUUCUUUGACUAUAGUAAUUGCCUAGGUCUGCAGGCUAGUGAGAGAAGAGACUGUCCUGUAGGGGAGGAGAGAGGAAGAGGAGGAUGAGAGGAGAGAAGAAGAUGGUAUCUCCAGGAAAAUCAUUAAGGCAGCAUGUUUUGGCUUGUAGCCAAUGUGAGGCAGAUGCAGAUAGAACCUAGUAGUCGAUGAACCAGGCAGAGAAAGGUAGAACCUAGUAGUCGAUGGACCAGGGAGAGACAGGUAGAACCUCGAAGUCGAUGAACCAGGGAGAGACAGGUAGAACAACGUAGUCAAUGAACCAGGGAGAGAAAGGUAGAACCUCGUAGUCGAUGAACCAGGGAGAGAAAGGUAGAACCUCGUAGUCGAUGAACCAGGAAGAGAAAGGUAGAACCUUGUAGUCGAUGAACCAGGAAGAGAAAGGUAGAACCUUGUAGUCGAUGAACCAGGGAGAGAAAGGUAGAACCUCGUAGUCGAUGAACCAGGGAGAGACAGGUAGAACAACG
rnacentral:lncRNA from 1 species